UACGGGGGGAGCAAGCGUUGUUCGGAUUUACUGGGCGUAAAGGGCGCGUAGGCGGCCAGCACAAGUCAGUUGUGAAAUCUCCGAGCUUAACUCGGAAAGGUCAACUGAUACUGUGCGGCUAGAGUGCGGAAGGGGCAACUGGAAUUCUUGGUGUAGCGGUGAAAUGCGUAGAUAUCGAGAGGAACACCAGAGGUGAAGACGGGUUGCUGGGCUGACACUGACGCUGAGGCGCGAAAGCCAGGGGAGCAAACGGG
rnacentral:rRNA from 1 species